CACCCAACAACAACAACAACAACAUUCAUUCGUUAUUUUUCUAUUUUCUAUUCGGCAACAGCUGGAAGAAUGCGGACAACUCCAUUCACCGGCGGGAGAUUGGAAAACAAUUUGGAACGAGCCGAGCCAACCGCCACAUGUCGGCACAAGUCGACAUUGCGGUUCACUGUCCGUCCGUCCAACAACAACAACAAAAUGGCGCAUUUUUCAUCCGGAGGAUUUUACGAUCUCAUCUUCUUGUCGAGGCGUAUAAUAUUUUGUGUACGUGUGUGAGUCUCUAUGGAACCUCAUCAUCAUCAUCCGACUGGCCCAGAGGAAAAACAUUUGGAUUUUUUUGUUUUUUUGUUUCUCCGCACUGUUGGCAGAUAACGAGCAAAAAAUAAGUUUCAACAAGAAAAGGCCAUCCAUCCAUCAACCGAUGGACUUUUUGUGAAUUUCCGUCAGGUGCCAAUGUCGACCGAUACGAUAAAAAACAAUCUAGUCCAUUUGAAAAAUAACAAAACUGUUUGAAAGUGAGGGGGGGGAUUCCGGUUUGAUAGCGAUCCAGCUCCGGAAUGUUGUUAUUCCGUUUUCACAGGUUUCUUCUUCCUUUUGGAAAAAGCGAAAGUCACGUGAUAUCCGAUUCUCCCACACAGCCGGUAACUAAGGAAAAAAGAAGCC